rnacentral:lncRNA from 1 species
UUUCAGAAAGAGUGUCUGUGAUAGGAAGUGGUUUACAGAAAAAAAGUUUCCACACCCUCUGGCAUCUUGAAUCUGCUUAUACAAGCUUGUCCUGAUUAAUUCAAAAUUCCUCUUGUUCUAAUAAUUCUCUCAUUUCAAAGCUUCUUUGUAGUUCCUUCACUAUCUUUUUUUGGCAUGCAAACGAGCAACCUCAGGUCCAGUGUCCUCUGGCAUUUCUUAUGCAGUAGCUCAAUAUUUUCUACCACUCUGAUAAAUCAUUCAAGAGGAGAAGGCAAAAUAUGCUCAAAGGAGUGGUAUCCUUCACACAGCAACAGGAUGAAAUUAAAAUUCCACAGGUGUUGCUUGAGAAUGUAUUUUCCUCUGUAUCUGGUUUCUCUCUGGAUAAAUGUCACCAGGAUCUGGCUGUCACCCUAGAACUGAUAAUUUCUGCUAGAAGUCUGUGCAGAGGGAAGCUGAAGUGUGGACAUAACAUCACUAAAACACAGAAGGCCUACCCAGGAAAAGAGCCCAGA